GUUAUGUGAGAAAAUCAGCUCGGAGGAGCGAAAACACGGGGCUAUGGUGUGGCUUUGUUCUUCACAGGAGCACCACAGAAGGCUUUAGAGCUCCUGAACAAGGCGCCACUUCUCUGACUAGGGCAACUGUGUGCAAGACAAGCAUCGGUUUGAAAUGCCAGAGGUGACGGGGAUGACAAACCGUGGAGGAUGGGACGCCUGUCUGAGCAGCAGAAUGGAUCACAUGGGCAGCGGCUCCAGAUGCAACGCUCCAUUUAUCCGAGAUUGGGACCAGCGAUUGGGACCAGCAAUUGGGACCAGCGAUUGGGACAAGCGAUUGGGACCAGCGAUUGGGACCAGCGAUUGGGACAAGCGAUUGGGACCAGCGAUUGGGACCAGCGAUUGGGACCAGCGAUUGGGACCAGCGUGGUCCCAAUCUCUUAUGUUGUCGUACAGUUGCAAAGUUGCCUUUUGCUUGUGUGCCAAACAUGUUAUCCCCUACACUAUGGAAACACAUAACGUUGUAGCUAACUUUCAGCUGUGUCCCCUCCAUUUUCAUGAGUGUGAACUGCAAGCUAGUGUGUUUUCAGUGCCCCUCCAAAGCCCAUAUAAAUGAGAGCCUCAAUCAAGAAGAGUGUCUGGUAUUAAAAAUCUUUGCCAAACCAAAUAUUUCAUUGUUAACUGCA